rnacentral:rRNA from 1 species
CCUCCGUGUUGCAGCCGUGGGGAAUCUUGCACAAUGGGGGAAACCCUGAUGCAGCGACGCCGCGUGAGCGAUGAAGUAUUUCGGUAUGUAAAGCUCUAUCAGCAGGGACGAAAAUGACGGUACCUGACUAAGAAGCCCCGGCUAACUACGUGCCAGCAGCCGCGGUAAUACGUAGGGGGCACGCGUUUUCCGGAUUUACUGGGUGUAAAGGGAGCGUAGACGGCGGUGCAAGCCAGAUGUGAAAGCCCGGGGCUCAACCCCGGGACUGCAUUUGAAACUGUGCUGCUAGAGUGUCGGAGAGGCAGGCGGAAUUCCUAGUGUAGCGGUGAAAUGCGUAGAUAUUAGGAGGAACACCAGUGGCGAAGGCGGCCUGCUGGACGAUGACUGACGUUGAGGCUCGAAAGCGUGGGGAGCAAACAGGAUUAGAUACCCCAGUAGUC